rnacentral:rRNA from 1 species
GGCCUGAGAGGGUGUUCGGCCACACUGGGACUGAGACACUGCCCAGACGCCUACGGGAGGCUGCAGUCGAGAAUCUUCCGCAAUGGGCGCAAGCCUGACGGAGCGACGCCGCGUGGAGGAUGAAGGCCUUCGGGUUGUAAACUCCUGUCACAUGUUAAGAACCUCUCCGGGUUAAUACCCCGGAAAUUGACGAAUGCAUGAGAGGAAGCUCCGGCUAACUUCGUGCCAGCAGCCGCGGUAAUACGAAGGGAGCAAGCGUUGUUCGGAAUCACUGGGCAUAAAGAGCACGUAGGCGGCCACGUCAGUCAGUUGUGAAAUCCUCCGGCUUAACCGGGGAACUGCUUCUGAUACUGCGGGGCUAGAGUGCGGGAGGGGAGAGUGGAACUUCUGGUGGAGCGGUGAAAUGCGUAGAUAUCAGGAGGAACGCCGGUGGCGAAAGCGACUCUCUGGACCGUUACUGACGCUGAGGUGCGAAAGCUAGGGUAGCAAACAGGAUUAGAUACCCUGGUAGUCCUAGCCGUAAACGAUGGGCACUAGGUAGUGGGGGUUCCGAUACUUCCUCUGCUGGAGAUAAUUUUUUAAGUGCCCCGCCUGGGGAGUAUGGUCGCAAGGCUAAAACUCAAAGGAAUUGACUGGGGCUCACACAAGCGGUGGAGCAUGUGGUUUAAUUCGAAGCAACGCGAAGAACCUUACCCGGGUUUGACAUGCACGGAUUAGCUCGGUGAAAGCCGAGUGACGCUCUUGUAGUGGAACGUGCACAGGUGUUGCAUGGCUGUCGUCAGCUCGUGUCGUGAGGUGUUGGGUUAAGUCCCGUAACGAGCGAAACCCUUGUCCUUAGUUGCCAGCGGGUCAUGCCGGGGACUCUGAGGAGACCGCCGUUGUCAAAACGGAGGAAGGUGGGGAUGACGUCAAGUCAUCAUGGCCCUUAUGCCCGGGGCGACACACGUGCUACAAUGGCCGGCACAAAGGGACGCAAGACCGUGAGGUGGAGCAGACCCCAUAAAGCCGGCCCCAGUUCGGAUCGGAGGCUGAAAUUCGCCUCCGUGAAGUUGGAAUCGCUAGUAAUCGCGGAUCAGCCUUGCCGCGGUGAAUAUGUUCCUGAGCCUUGUACACACCGCCCGUCAAGCCACGAGAGCUGGCAGUGCCCGAAGUCGCUACCCCAACCCUUGGGAGGGGGGCGCCGACGGUAAGGUCAGUGAUUGGGACUAAGUCGAAGCAAGGUA